UUUAUUUAAUGCUUUGCAUGAAAAACGCCAAAUGUUUCACAAAACAUUUGUUACGGAAGAAAAUAUAUUAAAUUUUAAAAAGCGUAAAAGAUAAUUACCUUAUAAAUUAUUCGUUGUACUGCCCUAGAACUUUGGAACAAAUUGCAGUUGCAAGUGCGAGAAUUAUGCACUCGGUCCAUUGAGCUGCGCGUAUUGCGUCAUUAAGCACACAGGAUCCACAGGAUGCUGAGUCCGGGAUCCUGAGGAGCAAAAGGGCAGCGACUGGACAGACCAGACGCAGUCGAGUGCAUUUGCAUAAUUUACAAAGUUUGCCGGCAUAUUGGUCAAGUUUCUCACAUUGUUUCCAAUUUUUCGGAGACUUGCCACUGCCUGUUUAUUAAGUCAUCAAUUAAAGGGGCGGGCAAAAGUUG